rnacentral:rRNA from 1 species
CCUACGGGAGGCAGCAGUGAGGAAUAUUGGUCAAUGGGCGCGAGCCUGAACCCGCCAAGUAGCGUGACGGCUGACUGCCCUACGGGUUGUAAACUUCUUUUAUAAAGGAGUAAAGUGAGGCACGUGUGCCUUUUUGUAUGUACUUUAUGAAUAAGGAUCGGCUAACUCCGUGCCAACAGCCGCGGUAAUACGGAGGAUCCGAGCGUUAUCCGGAUUUAUUGGGUUUAAAGGGAGCGUAGAUGGGUUGAUAAGUUAGUUGUGAAAGUUUGCGGCUCAACCGUAAAAUUGCAAUUGAUACUGGCAGUCUUGAGUACAGUUGAGGUAGGCGGAAUGUGUGGUGUAGCGGUGAAAUGCUUAGAUAUCACGAAGAACUCCGAUUGCGAAGGCAGCUUACUAAACUGCCACUGACAUUGAUGCUCGAAAGUGUGGGUAUCAAACAGGAUUAGAUACCCUUGUAGUC